GCGCCGCGCCAGACUUUGAUCAUGGCUCAGGAUGAACGCUAGCUACAGGCUUAACACAUGCAAGUCGAGGGGAAACGAUAUUGGAAGCUUGCUUCCGAUAGGCGUCGACCGGCGCACGGGUGAGUAACGCGUAUCCAACCUGCCCACCACUUGGGGAUAACCUUGCGAAAGUAAGACUAAUACCCAAUGAUAUCUCUAGAAGACAUCUGAAAGAGAUUAAAGAUUUAUCGGUGAUGGAUGGGGAUGCGUCUGAUUAGCUUGUUGGCGGGGUAACGGCCCACCAAGGCAACGAUCAGUAGGGGUUCUGAGAGGAAGGUCCCCCACAUUGGAACUGAGACACGGUCCAAACUCCUACGGGAGGCAGCAGUGAGGAAUAUUGGUCAAUGGACGAGAGUCUGAACCAGCCAAGUAGCGUGCAGGAAGACGGCCCUAUGGGUUGUAAACUGCUUUUAUAAGGGAAUAAAGUGAGUCUCGUGAGACUUUUUGCAUGUACCUUAUGAACAAGGACCGGCUAAUUCCGUGCCAGCAGCCGCGGUAAUACGGAAGGUCCAGGCGUUAUCCGGAUUUAUUGGGUUUAAAGGGAGCGUAGGCCGGAGAUUAAGCGUGUUGUGAAAUGUAGAUGCUCAACAUCUGAACUGCAGCGCGAACUGGUUUCCUUGAGUACGCACAAAGUGGGCGGAAUUCGUGGUGUAGCGGUGAAAUGCUUAGAUAUCACGAAGAACUCCGAUUGCGAAGGCAGCUCACUGGAGCGCAACUGACGCUGAAGCUCGAAAGUGCGGGUAUCGAACAGGAUUAGAUACCCUGGUAGUCCGCACGGUAAACGAUGGAUGCCCGCUGUUGGUCUGAAUAGGUCAGCGGCCAAGCGAAAGCAUUAAGCAUCCCACCUAGGGAGUACGCCGGCAACGGUGCAACUCAAAGGAAUUGACG
rnacentral:rRNA from 1 species